rnacentral:rRNA from 1 species
GACGAACGCUGGCGGCGUGCUUAACACAUGCAAGUCGAACGGAAAGGUCCUGCUUUUGUGGGGUGCUCGAGUGGCGAACGGGUGAGUAACACGUGUGUAACCUGCCCUUGUCUUUGGGAUAACUUCAGGAGACUGGGGCUCAUACCGGAUAGGAGCUCCUGCUGCAUGGUGGGGGUUGGAAAGAUUCGGCGGUUGGGGAUGGACUCGCGGCUUAUCAGCUUGUUGGGGGGGUAGUGGCUUACCAAGGCUUUGACGGGUAGCCGGCCUGGGAGGGUGACCGGCCUCAAUGGGACUGAGAGACGGCCCAGAAUCCUACGGGAGGCAGCAGGGGGGAAUAUGGCACAGUGGGCGGACGCCUGAUGCAGCAACGCCGCGUGCGGGAUGCCGGCCUUCGGGUGGUAAACCGCUGUCGCCUGUGACGAGGCGUGAGUGACGGUAAUGGGUAAAGAAGCACCGGCUAACUACGUG